rnacentral:miRNA from 1 species
GCAGACACAUUCCAGCCAAUCAGCAGCAGAUCCUCCCUCCCAGACCCUUCCACCUCCUGGACAGCAUCCAUUUUGAAGCUGCAUUCUUAGUGAGCUGUCCAGGAGGUGGGAGGGUCUGGGAGGGAGGGUCUGCUGCUGAUUGGCUGGAAUGUGUCUG